AGUGUGCUCAACAUCCUCUGGAAGGCUCCUCCCGCAGAGUCAACCCCCGGGAGAGAGAAGGUCGAUGGGCUACCGAGGAUCGUUAUACCGAGGUCCUGAAUUUGGCUGUAUGGAUCCAGUUGGAGAUGAAAUCAUCCCUUAGGAACCGGGCCAGGAUACACCUGUCGAAAUCCAGGCACCCAUGAAGUGGCGGCAGGCUGUUUUCCCCGGAUACGGGAAUAAGGAUGACCCAGUCUCUUCCCUAGGGAUACCCCGUAGUGUCGAAGAAACCCGCGCCUAAUUCACAGGAACGCAACCCCCGUGGAGGUAUGCGGAUUUUCCUCGUGUCCUGGCAUCGCUUACUUGAUCGAGAAUUCUCCAGGAACUGUGAACACCCUAAGAAGGAGAUGAGUUACCUUUUACGUAAAGGAUUCUCAUCAAGGAGGUAUCGAAUGCAGCAUCGUGGUAUUAUAAUUCAAGGAGCUUUAACGCGGGCAUCAUGGCCGCCCUCAGGGUUGCUGAGUUUCACCAGUGCAACCGACACGCUCGGAAGGAGUUACGAGGGCAUAACGUAACGUACGACGUAAACGUAAAGCGUGGAAGCCGACGCAUAGCACGUACCUGGUAGCAUAUAUCCAUAUAUAGACAUCUAUUCAUAUACAAUAGGUAGUUACAUAAGUAUAUACACAGAUUGUAAGACUGAAAUCCAUGGGCGUCCGUACGGCGUUACAUGUAAAUCCUACCUGGUGGCUUUGCAUCGGAGCUCCUUCAAUGAAACUACUCAGAAACUUCAAAAGGAUUUAACUUUCCGUUUGUACCAUUAUGAACUGGUACCAGUAGCAAGAGCGGCAUUCUUAUUGGUUACCAUACCUGCGGCUAUUGGUAAUUUCAAAAUAGUGGAAUGGCUCAGUCGUAAUCUGAAAAGCGUGUCAUGGGAUACCAUACGUAUAUAUGCCCAAUGCAAGUGGUCUUCAGGGGCGUCUCUGUAGUACCUGGUAGUUGUGAUGGGGUGGAACGGCUUCAGGGCUGGCGAAGAUCUGGAAUAUUAUGCUGGUGCAUUGUGCCACUUUACAACCUUGUGCUCGCAUCGACCUCGUCCUGGGAUGCGUUUAGAGAUUUAACUCCGUAUCACCUGCGUUAAAAUCCAGCAGUUAAAUAAGGGGGCUGCGAUUUCAGGAUGGUUGAUCCAAAUUGCUUAUUAUUGCUAAGUAAGUUGUAGAUUAAUUAGUGACUCGUUUCAUUGAAAACCGAAUUCUCUGUAUGACUGUGCUGCCUUCUUGGAAUCUGGAAGAUAUAAGUGAAUAGAAGCCGAGUGGAAGAGCUUCCAGGAAGACGAGAAGUUCUUAAGCUGAUGGAGAGGAUCAAAGCUUUGUGACCGCAACGGGUUCCUAGAGAGACGCUUCCUGGAGCUGGCCUAGACCCGUUGCCUAUAACGACUCUUAAGAAGAACUACAGAAAAAAAGGGAAGGAAGACUGUGUAAGAGUCGAAGGGAGCAAAAGGGAAUACAGUGAAAAAUUAUUAUUCUGAGACUUCAAUGGGGUUGCUCAGUAGGUACUUAUAACCCUUAGGACUCAGAGUAGUAAUUCUGGUAGCCUCUUACUCAGUGAACCGUUCUACAAGAGAUUCACAUCUCAAAUAACUUUUAUUCAUGAGAUUCAAUAAUUUGAUAGCCUAAUCGACGGCUUGGGCUGUGCUGUCUGUUACUGACAGAUAAUCAAUACUCGCUAUUGCAUAACUGACCGACGUAGCGGUCCAUUUCAAAGCAAUCGCGACCCUCAUCCAUAUACAGAGGUAAUGGAAACAUGAUAUUUCCCAUGGUGAAUGGAAUUGAAUUAAAAUAAUUACGUAAAUGAAUUGAAUAGCUGAGUGAUUUAGAAAAUCACUGAAUACAGUGAAAAAUUACAAGAGAAAUAGAAACACUGAUUAAAAAGGUUGUACGUUGGUUUUCCUGGUAUUCGUCAUCUGAUCUGUACAAGGGUAUGACAAGAGUCCCUUUGGCAGCCUGAUGUCAUCGUGGCGGAGCCGCGAUACCAUGUAAUGACGCAGAGAAUAAAAGGCUCGGGGACACGAGCGUAUAGCUUUUAGCGUUAGGGAGUAUGAAAAGAGGAGAGAAAAAAAGAAGGUGAGCCAUCUUCAAAGACGCGACAAAGAUGAUCCGUUUAUAAAGAAAGCCGAGUGGUUUUAACAAUGGCGGAAGGUGUAAAAGCACAGAGCGUAAAAAGUCCCAUAAGAAGAACAGAGCUACCCAUGGAUAAAUUGAAGAUGUACCAUGAAAACAAAAUCCUCCUGCCUUAAUUCCUUAAUUACAUAAUUACGUAUGGAAUUAUCACAUCAAUAACGUCGGUCUAGAGAGAGCAGCUAGAAAAGAAUCAACUUAAAGAAGCAGACUAAAAAGAAGUUCAGCGAGAUUCUGAAAAUUACCAAGGCACUUCCAAGAAAGCGGGUAUCCCAUCCGAAGCGCCUGGUCUUUUCCCUCGUAUAAGGGAAUGGUAUAUCAGCAGGGAUAGUAUUCCCUUUAGUUGGCUAAGGCUGGCUCGUGCUGCAACACAGUGCACGGGGGCGCAAGGUUCGUUUAAUUUCAGAAGACCCCAUAAAGGUUAUACCUCGGGAUGGCUGUUCGCUCGUGCGCCGGUAUCGCGGCAGGAAAUACGUCCUCGUAAACUAGAGAAAGUAGAAAAAAGGAAGGAACGAGAAGUACAAUAGAGUGGGAUGAAGAUAGGGAAGAUUAAAGAACAGAGAAGGAGAGAGGAAGACGAAGCAGAGUAGAGCGAGGGAAGGAAAGGAAAAGGACAGAGCUUGGCUCAGAAAUGAACGUAGGGGUAGUGGAUAAAAAAGAAUCCAGGAAGCAAAAGGGAACAAUGCUGCUCGCGGAUCCCCGGGGCAUAUCCCUGGCACACAUGGUGACGAGGGGCUCCAGGGGUUUUACUACAGGAUAAGGGAGCAAGGCUAGAGCGGGGGAGGAGAAAAAAUGGCGGCGGUGGUAGCAGUAGAUGGUUGGGAAAGGAAGGAGAGAGGAGCUAGUAGGUAGGUAGGUAGGUAUAAAGUUUCUGGUUAAUGCCAGAAGUGGAGUAGGAUGCUGUGCUCUUCUUUGAUGGUUAUAGGAUAUCUUUCGAGAGCGAGUGAGAUGGAACGAUGGGGGCAAAAAAUAAAAAGGAAGAGCUCGCAUAAUGCGGGGAAACCACUAAUGGCAAUGGGGAUCCUUGAUAAAGGUUGCCGACAAGUUUUCAGCCCGAUUUAGGACCUCAUUCUAUUUUUUUCAAGUCGAUUUUGAUUUCCUGCUAUAUACAUCUCCCCGACGGAGUGCCAAGUUUUAUCUUAUUAUUCAAGAAAUCUUUUUCACCAGACUUUCGAUCGAUUCCUUCCAUUUGGCAAGUAGGCAGGGGCUUGUCCCUCCCUGUGGAUGAGGAUGGUAUCUUUAAUCAUUAUAAUCGACCCUUGAAGUUUUUCCUCUGUUUCUCGCCCUCUUUCAUCCCUAUACUUUGUCGAGUCCCUCGGGUCCUUCACAACGCAACCCUUCUAGUUCCUCCUCUCUGGAACACCCUUCCAUCCCUUGAGAUUGGUGCGCGGUGGGUUUUAGGUAUUCUUCAUGUGACGUAAAUAGCGCGCUGGCUUAAAUGGUGUAAGUCUCAUUAAUAUUACUAAAUAAUAAUAUUAAAUUUAUAUAGUCUAUCUGUACUCAUUUAUUUUUACUGUAUUAUAAAGUGCGUUCCAGUUGAAUUCACCUUAUCAGGAGGCACCCGUGCUGACGACUAACUCUGGCUGACGUGUAAGGGAUGGUUUAAGGAGACACUUCUGACAAGUUCAAAGGUUAGCUGCAUUGUGCAGUAUCGUGUGCAUCUCGCGUGACGUCUCUAAGGGUUGAAAAAGCAAGUACCCUAGUAAUCAGUCGGGAGAGCAUCCUCGAAGCAUCCAAUGUGGAUAUGUAUAACAUGAAGAUAAUCUUCCCUGAACUGGACCACCCAAUUUCAGAGAAAAUAAUAACCGAGAGUGAAAUCCUCAACCUCCUUCGUUACUACUACCUGGAGAUUUUGACGCCCUAUAUUUUCUGAUUCCUCCUUGGCACAUCUUAUUGUACUACUUGACUACUCCCUGGAAGAAGUAAAGAGUGAGAUCAUGAAAUGAAAAAUAAAUAAAGGAGAAAAGGUAUGGAAUUUGAGGCAAGAAGAGUGUCAGACGAAAAAAGAAAUAUAAAAAAGAGGGAUGGUUUCAAAGGACAGCGAAAUAGGAGAAAUAAGAGAUGACAGAGGAGUCAAGUGCAGCGAAGAGUUUUGCGAGAUGCGGAAUAAGAAGAAUUCUCUGAAUUCAAUAAAAUGGUGGAAACUAGCCCGUUGCCUCGUAAACGGGUAAUCUGCUAUUCAGGUCAUAACCUAGCUCGCACAGCAGAGGACGGUGGCCAUUUCGAACAGCAUCCCGGUGACUAUUACGUAGUACAGAAUCCCGACCCUCUCUUACCACCUCACGCUAUACCCUUGUGCUCUUGAUGUGAGAACCUGCUGGUACUAGCGGCUAAGGGUAGUAAAGGGUAGGUCGGCACGGCAUUUAUAUCCCAGCCAGUGGAAAUGCCAGGCGCGGAGAGGACAGUUUUAAUAUUCUGCCUGAGAAGGAGCCCGAGGAGCGAGGGAGGAAGAGCGAGAGAGAAUCGGAUAAGGAUAAAGAUAGGAAAGAGAAAGGAACACCAGCUACAAAGGACAACGCGGUUUCUCCGAUCCUUUUCGAAAAUCCCCUAACUUCAGAGUUGAAUGCAGGAUGCUGUCAGAAUUUCCGCUACGAAUGGAUCCGGAUAAAACUACUUUCCUCCUCUACUUCCGGGUGAUUCGUCAGAUCAUUGGAUGAAUAAUACAGAGGUUUACUCGAAGCAUUGUUAUUGGUCCGGUUGCAGCCAAGGUGAUGGAUGCUGGCACACGUCUAGUCUCGGUUAAUUGUUCUGAAGGUGGUAGCGACUGAUACCAGCGCUAAUUUCAGGUUAAUCAUUAUUCCAUGUUAAUACAGGAUAUAGGAGUAUGGUAUAUUAUACGUAUAGAAAUAUUUGAAAUACUCUCUUUCUCUGAUCGUUUCUUGACUCUACUUUCUGUCUCUUUUUAUCUUUCCAACUCUCUAUACACAUCUAGAGUGGAUUCUCGCCUGGACGCAUUGAUCCAGUGCAGGGUGAAUGUGUACAGGGUGGAAAGCUGAGGGUGGGAUGCUGCUCGGGAUGGGAUGGAAGUGGACUGUUUAAGGGAUGCUGGGCUUCAGAGUGGAAAGAGCGUGGAGUUUGGUCGCCUAGCAACUCGAACGCCAACCAACCUACCUACCUACCUACCUAUCUACGAGCAUGUAUAUGACUGAGCACGUUAUGUGGAAGCACGUGACAUGGAACGCUCUGCCUAUUACGCAUAUGCCUACAUAUCCUGUAUAUACAACACACCAAGUGAGUACAACCAACCCCGUAACCCACUGCGGCGAAUCUGUGUAGAUAAACUAGAUGGACAACCGACAAGUUCAUUAUAUUAUGUAAAUGUAAUAAAACUUAUGGAUAAAUUAAAAAAUUGUUCGAAUCGAUUCAAUCUGUUUGUGAUGAAAGAUUAUAUGUUUCUAGAGCACAUCGGAGGACUUAUGUUUUGUGUAAUGUAUAUAUGUAACACUUGGAGUAAAGUUACAGUAUAGACUCUUGGGUCUUCUUCCGAAGAUCGAGUAAUAACAGUGUUUUCUGAGGCCGGUGUGGAUGCGGGCUAAGGAACGAGGUGGUUAUUCACCUGAGUUUGGGAGCAUAACCUCCUAAGGUGGCCCGGGGAUCCCGGGUGAAGAGAGGUACCCACCGCAGUCAGUGCCUUCGCCUCGUCUUCUACAGUAGUAUUAGUAGUAGCAGUAGUAGUAGAUAGUAAUAGUAGACGUAGUAGUAUUAGUCAAGGUAACCGUAGCGCAGGAAAUAUAGGAAGACCGUCUAGUCCAGGAUUGGGUCCAAGGAGUAUUAGUGAGACGUCGGUAGUCUUCGAGGAGGAGGGUACCGAGGUGAAACUGGAAGUAUGGGACGGGUAGGUUAGGUGGUCCAAUCCUCCUAUGGCGGUUCCUGAAGUAGUUGGGAGGGACGAAGGGCCAGAGAAUGCCGAGCAGGUUGCUGCCAGGGUGGGCAGGUGCUCGGCUCCAUGGAGGGCAGACAAAGGAUCCGAAACUCUCAGGUUUUUCUCAUAGCCAGAGCAAGAUGAGCCCUUCCUGGGCAAUGGGUCGUAUAUCGAUAAACUCUUGUAGGAUUGGAAAUUUCAGGAUCCCUCUGGAUGUUCCAUGUGCGAUUCCUGCUGAAGAUAUUGAUAUUGAAUUGGUACUGAGAUCAUCUAUGGGUAUCAACGGCAGAAGAGGUUACCGUGCAGGCAAUAGCCACCUUUCACGGACGACUUCGUCCGGACCUACAAUCAGGACAAGAUGGCAGACAUCUGCUGGCCAUCUGCCAGGCCCCAAGAACUGAGACUGCUUUGGCACCCUUCCGCGUGCAAGGUGCGGCCCCGAAAAAAUCAGAAGCGCACCCGGGGACUCGCGUGAUUUUUUGCCCCCCUGAGAAACGCUCCACGUAUUCCCAUAAAGAGAGGCGUGCUGCAGCAGACUCACAGGGCAGCCACCAUCGGGCACGUAAAGAAGGUGGAAAAGAAUAAAAGAAGCGUCGGAAGCAAGGUGCUCUUAAAUCGCGUGGCUCGAGCGAGAUUUUAUAGGAUAAGGAAUUAUUUUAUUUUUUUGCACAAUUCCCUAAUUAGGAAUUAACCUCACCGAUCCUUUCUCGCUUGUACUUUCAGACUGCAAGAUUGGUACCAGUGAUGGUUCGCUGUGGAGUCUUGAUUAGCUCGUAAAAUUAAUCCGAACUGAACUGAUUACGAUACACCUGGCAUGAUGCUCUUACACCUGGCAAUUUUAAACCUCUGUGUGAAAGUUGAUCGACCUUCCUCCGGAUGACGACGAUCACACCCACGUAUCUACGAAAUACACCAAGAAUAUUUUCAGAUCGCCUCAAGCUUCUUAUAUUUCAAUAACAACAGAAGAAUUUACCCAGUGAAAAGGAAUCCGUGACAUUAAAGGACCAAACUUGGAGGACAAGAUGGCG